rnacentral:rRNA from 1 species
AUUGAACGCUGGCGGCAGGCUUAACACAUGCAAGUCGAGCGGAGCGAGGGUGCUUGCACCUUAGCUUAGCGGCGGACGGGUGAGUAAUGCUUAGGAAUCUGCCUAUUAGUGGGGGACAACAUUCCGAAAGGAAUGCUAAUACCGCAUACGCCCUACGGGGGAAAGCAGGGGAUCUUCGGACCUUGCGCUAAUAGAUGAGCCUAAGUCGGAUUAGCUAGUUGGUGGGGUAAAGGCCUACCAAGGCGACGAUCUGUAGCGGGUCUGAGAGGAUGAUCCGCCACACUGGGACGGGGACACGGCCCAGAGUCCUACGGGAGGCAGCAGUGGGGAAUAUUGGACAAUGGGCGGAAGCCUGAUCCAGCCAUGCCGCGUGUGUGAAGAAGGCCUUUUGGUUGUAAAGCACUUUAAGCGAGGAGGAGGCUACUUAGAUUAAUACUCUGGGAUAGUGGACGUUACUCGCAGAAUAAGCACCGGCUAACUCUGUGCCAGCCGCCGCGGUAA